ACCAAGUUCGUCUCAGAUUAGAAUUGAAAUGGAAGAACACAUGCAACUCUUUUGUGCAAUGGGUUAACUGGACGCUGAUCUUCGUGGUAUUCUAUUCUAUGAAUCUGCCUUGACCGGUACUGUUGCCAAACGGCCCUUUUAACAUUUUCGACGAACCUAUCCCCUCUGUUCCCUUUCCUCUUUGCCUCCGCUCUCAGGUUUUCCUCUCUCUCUCUCUCUCUCUCUCUCUCUGACCUCUGCACCCUCGGACAUGACCGGACAUGGAUUUUCUUACAGGAGCCAGGGCGAACCAACCAAACGGGCCGCCAGUGUGCAGAAAAUCAAAGGUAUUUCUGCAACAUUGCGACUUUUUCUAAGGAAGUUCUGCAAUUUUUAUCCUGUCAGGGAAUUAGUGCACCAGGGCCAGAAGCAUUUGUCAUGACCUGUUCCACACUGACUUGCCAGCGUUUAUGUUUGGAAUCUGGAUGAACAAUGCCAAGUAAGGUGUUAACUUUUGUGUUCUUAAUUGAUAUCUCUUUGUUUUGGCUAUUGGUGUUCUGUCCAUAUAGAUUGUUUAGAGAGAAGAGGGCUUACAUUUAAUACCCUAAUUUGAAUAGUAUAUGCCAAAGUAUGUUGCAUUUGAUGAAUGAAAUUUUCUAUCCUUUCAAGCCGUUUGUCAACGAAAAAGAACAUACUUUCUGCGCAACCAAAAAAGGUAAAUCUGUCAUUAUAAAUGGUGAUUCUAGAAAGCAAGGCAUACAACCAAGAAACAGGAGAUAGAUGCCCCAUUCCAAGAGAUUUUAGAGGACACUUUCAGUAGUUUGCAGCAAUUAGGAUGAUGAAGAUAGAGGAGUUAGGCUAAAUAGAAGCCGUGUACUACCAAAAGUUUUGUGGAUUUCAGCACUGACACGAGAUGCAACUACCUUCCUGGCUAGAUAAAAGGUUAUAAGUAAGAUGUUAUAUGCAGGAUAAGGUCAUUGCUUUUAAUUGUAAGCACGUGUCAUCUAUGUGGACAUAUCAGCAUGAGAUGAUUGCACCAAGCAUGUGCCCACCUUUCAUUCUAAGCAAAGUAUUGUUGGGGAGCUCAUUGUUUAAAGAGAAGGGAUGGUUCAUGUAAUAAAGAUACAAAUAAUAGUUUUUCUUAUAAAAUCAACUAGAAGGAGACAUGUCACUGACCAAUAGUGGCAUCUGAAUCUGUCUUUGUGCCUGAAACCUUUUGGGUGAUAAGCCCCUGGCCAUAUUAUUACCAAAAUGCAGAAAAAAGGACCUCUAGGAAAAGAUGGAGGAUCCCAUUGUGCGAGAAGACAGAGGAGAUUUGUUCAUCAACCAACCUUUUCCAGAUUGAUUCCAUUAAAGCAAGAGGUUCAUUUGUCCUGGAAAGUUGUCAAAGAAAGUAAGUUAUUUAGAAGAAUUGCAGCUAGCCACAACCAUGCCAAAUGGCUAUUGAUAGGACAUUGAUAGGAUAUAUGAUGUAGCCAUCAAAGUGCCACUUUGAACUAUUGAGACCAAGGCCUGUGAAUGAAAGCCACCGUAUCUGGUGGUAUCUUCCAAAUUUGGGUAGAUUUGUCUGCAGUGAGAUUCUGUCCUCUCUCGCGCAGCUGAAUGCACCACAAGGGGCCUUCUGUUAUGAAUAGAUUGACCUGAGACUAUGAGAUAGGCUAGCUUCUUAGCCACCCCAUACCCCCCCUCCCUGCAAUUGAAGGAGGUAAGCUUUUGGUGUCACAUUUUGUCAUCACUGGAACUCCCUGAAGAAAUGUCUGGGUAUGUUUUCUUUCAUACUUUUGGAAAGCAUUCUUAAGCAUUUUAUGGUUUUAGAAGGAAGACGAUCUAUCUUAUCUAUUUAUUUGAUAUUAUGUCAUAGUGAUUGUGAGCAGCAUACUUGAUGAGAAGUGCACACAACUCCCAAAAUUUUUGCAACAUAAGACAUGUUGAGUAAGUGAUUCUUUUAAUCACAUAAAGAGGAAUUCUUGAAGCAAUUCUGACAAAGUGACUGACUUCUUGGAACUUAUUACUAAUGAUAAUCGGCAGAGUUAUCUUCUUGUCAAACAUUGCUGAUUUAUUCAUGUGGCCAUCACUGAUUGCAGGUUUCAUUGGAGUGUUUCAAUUGAUUUUGGGGCCUGGUUGUCAUCACCACUUUUUGCUGUAUAAUAACUUUGUCCUAUGUGGCUUGCUAGUUUUAGACCAUGUUCAGUUGUGGAUCUGUUGUUAUUUAAGUAGCUUUGCUUUUAGAUCUUGAACAGGAUCCAGCCUUAAUUUCUUCUUCAUUCUAUGUGAAGGUGCGAGAGGCUCUGUUGGCACAAACCUAUCAUCUGUCUAUUGCACAUCAACUUGUCCAAAGACCGCCCAGCACUUUCCCAUGAAAAAAAACCCAACCGAAGACAUGGGGGUACAUCCAAUUUUGUGAAAUUUCUGAUAUGAUGUACACAAAGAAACAUGGACAGCAGUAAAUUGAAAUAUCCAUAUACAUAUGCUAUCAUUGAAGAGGAGGAAACAAACAUUGAAAGAGUGGAGUAGUCAUAUUUCUCAAAUUUGAAGGAAAUUUUAUAAAAUAUACAAUUAGGAACAUCAUCUUUUUAUCAGGAGCUAAGGCUUUAAACAAGUUAUUUCAUGAGGAAAAAAUUUCUAUGAUAUUUUUUCAAAAGAAGAUGUCCUAUGUCAUAGAGGUGUCAUACAGAAUAAUUCAAGUUAGUGCUUGCAGAAGAGAUAAGACUGACAACUUCAUUCAACUGAUAACCUUGACCGGAGGAAUGCUGUUGUACAUUGUGCACAUUCAUGAGUACCGUUGUCCCUGUUUUCUUGUAGUUUUGCUGUAUAUCCUUUCCUGACAGAUAUUUCCUUCAAGAUUGCUUGUCAUCCCAAAUGGUAAUAAUCUGUUAUACAAGAAAAUUAUCAUGAUCACUUAGGAGUCUUUUUUCUUUUUUCCCCUUUUUACGCGAGGAAGCUGCAAUGGCAUUGAGACUUAGUUGCAGAGUUGCACCGUAUAACCCCUUGGCUAGUGCGCUCAAGGCCUAUAUGUGUUUUGGUGGGUUACUCAUGGGCUUUGUUCCUGAAAGCUGAAGCUCUUCCAACUGCACCAAACCCCGUUGGGCCAACUGUGAUCUGUUACUUGAUACUUAUGCAUUUAAACUGCUUCUAUCCAUCGUUGGCAUCUCAGUUGUCAAACAAAAGGAUGAACUUCUGAGUUUCUGGAUCAAGGAUGAUAUUUAUCGUUUCCCUUGAGACAAACCAUUUCUUUCUGUUGUUUUAUGUUUGUUUUGCAUCAUGGAACAGGUUGGCAAAUGGCAGCCUUCCAUUAACUUAUAGAAGGUUUCCUUUUCUCUCUCUGCUGUUCUGUUUGAUCUAAAAGUUAUUUUUCAAAAAUGUUCUUUACUGUUGCGGGCAUACAGUGAGCUAGAGAACAAUGUCGCAUAUUGCUCAUAGUAUCUGAUUCCUCUCUAAUUACCUGAAAUGCCCCCUCAGGGUGAUUCACAAGUUCCAAAUGGUGUCUGGAAACAGCUGGCUGUGUUAGAGUUCUGUCCUUGAAAGUCAUGAUCUCAAAUGCAACAAGGGGCCAAUCAGAAGGUUAUGUGGCCCACUGAUAUGUUAUGGUGUUAUAUGCCUAUCUUUGGUGCAGCGGUGCAAUCUCAGAUUAUGUAUGAAACAGCUCAGGCUGUGUGGACUAUUGAUCUAUAUCUGGCACCCGCUAACAAAAAUGGGUUCUCUAUAUUCAAAAAAGAGCAUAUGUAACCUUUUCUAGUGGGAUCAUUCUAGCAGCAUUGCCCACCUGGACCCUAAAACAUGUCUGGAAAGGUUUCAGGUCGUGGAGGGAACCGGCCAAUUCCAGCCUGUAUGUAGCUUUUUGCUGCUCCACGUUGACACGCAUUGUUUUUCUAGUAGCGUGUGUGCAACUUGGUUUCUUUAUUGGAUGUAUAUUUUUCUUAUCAAUGCUAUUGCCAUUGGCCAUCGUCAAGUGAUCUGAAAGUUGACGGAAGUUGUAACUAUUGUUCGAGGAAAAGUGUCUCAGGCGUAUGUAAAGAAACUGCAGACAAUUAUUGGUGGUGCUAUGUCAUUGAUGUUCUUUUUA